rnacentral:lncRNA from 1 species
GCCGCUGACCCUCUGCGACCCUCGGCCCGGGCCCGCCCCCGCUCUUCCCUUCCCAUCGCCUCUCUUUUAAUGAAAUGAAGAAGAGGGAAUGCUGGUUGGGCUGCAACGCCUUCCGCUCGGCACACAGGGCGGUGACAGAGACGCCCAACUGGCAAAACCGUGCCGCUUCUUCGGGCGUCAGAUCCCAUCCUUGUGGUGGAGCCCUCGCUUUGGCCCCCAUCCUCCGGCCCUGGGGUCUUCCGAAAGCAGCCCCAAGCUGGCCCUUGCCGUUGGGCAGAUCCCUGCAGGUUUCCCGCUGGGGGAGCCCGGCGGCCAGCUGCUAUUUCAUCGGGUGGCCAGCAGAGGGCAGCUUGUUUCUGGGAAUUGUAGCCACAGAAGAUGGGCGAAGCAAGGAACUGGUGGAGGCCAAGACUUUUUCUUUCCUCCUCAACCCCGCCCAGGCAAUAGGUGGCCUUGUCAGCACAUCAGUUAGGGGGGUUCCUUCCCAUGCCAUGGAUAAGCUGAUUAGACCACACAUCUUGGGAGAACUAAGGUUGAAGGUUGCCUGGCCGACAGGAGGAAAGGGCUGUGCCCCCACCACAUCAUUUGGCCUGGAGACCCCUAAACUGCAGUAUAUCCCCCAGUGGCUGAAGCGGGGAUCUGGACUGAGAAACUCAGAACUCCUUGGCAUCAUCAGAAGUUGUCUUCAACCCAAAAGAAAUCAAAGGUUUACAGUUCCUGAGUCGUCCGGGGCUCUUCCUUCCAACCAGUCAGCCAAGAAAAAAGGCCAAGAUGAAAGGCAGAAAAGUUCCACUCCCUAUGCUAAAGGUAAGUAAUUUCUAAGUCUUUAAGCAGAGGUCAGAUCCCCUACUCUCACUGGGCACCCUGCCAACACUAAAAAAAGGGCAUGUCAGCCUCUGAAAUCUACCCCGGAACAAGAGUAAUGUAGUGACUUGAAAUAAAAGCUUUUUUUUUUUCCAUUACUUGAGUUAGGAAAGAUGGAUGGUCUUUUCUUUCUCAGGUAGUCUCAUGCUGUAGCCUUUCUGUACCUGGACUCAGGUUGACCCUGAAUGAGGCUGUCCCAUUUAAAAGGCCCUUAACAAUCUAGCUCAACAAUUAUAAAUAGUAUACCUUUCAGGGAUGAAUUUCUUAACUGCGCAGAUCUUUCUAGAGUCAACCAGUAAUGGGGCCUUUCUCAAGAAGUAAGCCUCGUGGAUGGAAUCUGAUAGUUGAGGAUUUGUGAUAAAAAGGCAAGAUCACUGAAAUCCCCCAACUUUUUCUGAAUAGGCCUCUGAUCUCCAGAGUUCCAAUUUAGUCUUACCUGUUCUGUGUGUUAUGUUAUGAAAAUUUACUUUAGCUUUCAAUUCCCUAUCCUGCUGGGAAAGAUUGUUGGCAAGUAAAAAACGUUGCAGAUGAAAAGGAUUUUCUUUGUCCUGAGAAACUCACAUUAUUUAUAAGGGCAACAACCGAAAACAUUUUCCCCACUGGAGGAACUCAGUGUCACAUUAAUGUAGCAGCAAAGGAAUCCUGGCGUCGAAUUAGGGAAGUGAAGUCAGUAAUAAUUGUGGUAUUGGUUAAGCACUUAAUAUGGGCCAAGCAAUAUUCUCAGUGCCAGGGUAGAGUCAAGAUAAUCAGGUAGGUCACAGUCCUUGUCCCGACUGGGGCUCACAGUCUAAGUAGGAGAAGUAAUGGUAUUUAAUUCCCAUUUCAUAGGGAAGGAAACUGAGGUAUAG